GACGAACGCUGGCGGCGUGCUUAACACAUGCAAGUCGAACGAUGAAGUUAUGACGGAGGCUUCGGCCGACUGAAUGAUGGAAUAGUGGCGGACGGGUGAGUAACGCGUGAGUAACCUGCCUUUCAGAGAGGAAUAACAUUUGGAAACGAAUGGUAAUACCACAUAACAUUACGUUCUCGCAUGGGGAUGUAAUCAAAGAUUUUAUCGCUGAGAGAUGGACUCGCGUCCGAUUAGCUAGAUGGUGAGGUAACGGCCCACCAUGGCGACGAUCGGUAGCCGGACUGAGAGGUUGAACGGCCACAUUGGGACUGAGACACGGCCCAGACUCCUACGGGAGGCAGCAGUGGGGAAUAUUGCACAAUGGGGGAAACCCUGAUGCAGCAACGCCGCGUGAAGGAAGACGGUCUUCGGAUUGUAAACUUUGUUCUUGGUGAAGAAAAUGACGGUAGCCAAGGAGGAAGCCACGGCUAACGUACGUG
rnacentral:rRNA from 1 species